AAUACGGAGGAUGCGAGCGUUAUCCGGAUUUAUUGGGUUUAAAGGGUGCGUAGGCGGCACGCCAAGUCAGCGGUGAAAUUUUCGGGCUCAACCCGGACUGUGCCGUUGAAACUGGCGAGCUAGAGUGCACAAGAGGCAGGCGGAAUGCGUGGUGUAGCGGUGAAAUGCAUAGAUAUCACGCAGAACCCCGAUUGCGAAGGCAGCCUGCUAGGGUGCGACAGACGCUGAGGCACGAAAGCGUGGGUAUCGAACAGGAUUAGAUACCCUGGUAGUCCACGCAGUAAACGAUGAAUACUAACUGUUUGCGAUACAAUGUAAGCGGUACAGCGAAAGCGUUAAGUAUUCCACCUGGGGAGUACGCCGGCAACGGUGAAACUCAAAGGAAUUGACGGGGGCCCGCACAAGCGGAGGAACAUGUGGUUUAAUUCGAUGAUACGCGAGGAACCUUACCCGGGCUCAAACGCAGGGGGAAUAUAUAUGAAAGUAUAUAGCUAGCAAUAGUCACCUGCGAGGUGCUGCAUGGUUGUCGUCAGCUCGUGCCGUGAGGUGUCGGCUUAAGUGCCAUAACGAGCGCAACCCCUAUCGACAGUUACUAACGGGUCAAGCCGAGGACUCUGUCGAGACUGCCGGCGCAAGCCGCGAGGAAGGUGGGGAUGACGUCAAAUCAGCACGGCCCUUACGUCCGGGGCGACACACGUGUUACAAUGGCAGGUACAGAAGGCAGCCAGUCAGCAAUGACGCGCGAAUCCCGAAAACCUGUCUCAGUUCGGAUUGGAGUCUGCAACCCGACUCCAUGAAGCUGGAUUCGCUAGUAAUCGCGCAUCAGCCAUGGCGCGGUGAAUACGUUCCCGGGCCUUGUACACACCGCCCGUCAAGCCAUGGGAGCCGGGGGUACCUGAAGUCCGUAACCGCAAGGAUCGGCCUAGGGUAAAACUGGUGACUGGGGCUAAGUCGUAACAAGGUAGCCGUACCGGAAGGUGCGGCUG
rnacentral:rRNA from 1 species